UACGUAGGGUGCGAGCGUUAAUCGGAAUUACUGGGCGUAAAGCGUGCGCAGGCGGUUCGCAAAGUCUGAUGUGAAAGCCCCGGGCUCAACCUGGGAACUGCAUUGGAAACUAACGGGCUCGAGUGUGGCAGAGGGGGGUGGAAUUCCACGUGUAGCAGUGAAAUGCGUAGAUAUUGGGAAGAACACCUGAGGCGAAGGCGGGUUGCUGGGCCGACACUGACGCUGAUAGCGCGAAAGCCAGGGGAGCGAACGGG
rnacentral:rRNA from 1 species